CAUAAUGACAUGUUAAUAAAUUGCAGUGUUUUAACAGGCAGAAAAUUAAUGUAGUAGGCCAACGUACUGAAAAAAUUACCAUGCUUAAAUUCAAUGUGGAUAUAUGUCAAAAGAGGUGUUAGCAUGCAUAAACUCAAUUUAAUAUGUCGGGUGUUAAUUAGAAAACCUUAACGCAAAAGUUCUAAGCGAAUCAAUUAAUAAAAAUGUCUAAAAGAUUCAUGUGUUAAUAAAUCCUACUUUUUGUGCCUAAAUGAUCCACGUAGCAUAUAACACACAUAAAAACCUAAGUUGUGCCUACCUACACUACCUACACUAUGUAAGUCCCCGCCCCCGAGCAGUCCUCAAAAUUAUUAUUACAAUAAUGAUGUCUUUACAGUAAUAUUACAAACCAAAUAAUACAAAAAAUGAGAAAGAAAAACAACUAGCUAUAAGGAAUAACAUAUUCAAUUUAAAUAUCCCAGCGACUCUUCGAAAUUCGUAAUCGUCUACUUAAACCUACGAGGCAAGAUAUAGUGGUAAAUAAAAGGUUGUUGAAGUAAAGCAAUCUCAGCAAUGAGAUGAACAGAACGCUUCCUUAAAACUCACAAAGAGAUGCCACACAGCUUUGAGAAAUAUGUCUUGGAAUAGCUAAUAAUUUUUGUUUUAGAAAGUAAAAGUAGAAAAAGGGAAAUCUCUCCUCCUCUAAUUGAAAAGAGAGGCCCUUUCUAUGGGAGAAGGGAUACCGGGUGAUAAAAGGAAGAAAUCAAUUCUCUAAAUCAAUUAGAAAAAUUGUUUUCCUUCAAAUCUCUAAAUCAAUUAGGAAAAUUGUUCCUUGAAUAAAUAUGGAAAAUCAAUUAGCUUGCAAAAUCAUGUCAUGAUUACCAUAAGAGAAAAAAAUAAGAAUCUAUACAAAUAUAAUAUUGAGAUUUCUCCUAAAAUAAACAAGUACUUUAAAAGGCAAAUAACAUAUGAGUGGGCAGCACUAAUACCCGCCCAAAACAAAAGAAUAAAAGUAAAACGUCCCUUAAUCAAGGGAUUGCAAUUACGCACAAAAUCAAAGUUACCAAAUAUAAUCGCAUAAAAUCAGAAUUUAAGCUUGUCAAAUAUGGUCUAUCAUGAAGAUUAAUCUACCACAAGACUGUUAUAAUUUCAAAUUCACACAAAUUAAGUGUUUAAAAACCAAGAGAGUAGGGAAAAUCAUAAUUACGGCUAGAUUUGAUACUACCUUAGUGAUAAAUUCAUAACAACUACACACAAGAGAAUCGUAAUUUUAAAAUUUGUCAGAUCAGCAUUCAAACCAAAAAUUAAGCGAAUUUUAAAGUCUAUGAAUGUUAACAAGAGCAGAUCACCAAAAACUAAACCAAAAAUUUCAAUAACUCCAGUCAAUUUCAGACACCAGAAGUUUUCGACACAAAACAAAAGAAGAAUAAAGUAGAAAUACCAACUUGAGACGGAUUCAUAUGUGUGAACCCGUCAUGUUUUUAACAAUUUCUGGCGAGGAAUGGGUCGUGGAGGGAAAGAAAAACCUAAUCGAUGGCGGCAUGUGGACGCACGGAGAGCAUCAGCGGCGGCUGCAUGGUUAGCCGGAGGAGCCUGAGCUAGCCGAUCGUGGUGGCGGCUAUGGGGAUGGUCUCGCCGGACGCGUGGCUGGCGAGGCGGCUGCGGGGGUCGUCGUUGGUCUCCGGCGUUGGGAUAGGAGGCGGCAUACACGGCUGGGGACUGGACGUUGUUGUUUUCUGUUGGUGGCGCCGGUGGAGCAGCUAUCAACGAUGGCAGACCUCGCCGGAGCGGGAGAAAGGGGAGACGGCAGAUGCUCGUUGCUGUCCAGAGGCUGGCGGUGGUUUCGCCGGGGAAGGAGGAUGAGAGGGGAGAGGAGGAAAGAGAAGGGCGGGCGGUGGAGCGGCGGCAACAGCCGUCCCCCGGAGAGUAGCGGCUGCAGCAGCCGUCCCCCGGAGAGGAGCGGCGGCAGCAGCCGUCCCCCGGAGAGGAGAGAGAGGAGAGAAGAGAGAGAGCAGUUAGAGAGAGAGG
rnacentral:lncRNA from 1 species